CUACAAUUAUUUUAAUAAUUACCGUAUUUUCCGCACUAUAAGGCGCACCUAAAAGCCUUCAAUUUUCUCAAAAGCCGACAGUGCGCCUUAGAACCCGGCGCGCCUUAUAUAUGGAUCAAUACUGAA